CCGCUCUGGUUUCUCUUCAUCACGUACAAAUCUUUCGCCUUUUACUAAAGAUUUCCGUGGAGAGGAACACAGGUGAGCCUGUGCUAUUUUUGGAGUCCCUGCCUUUCGAGGCAGGGC